CAUUUGUUUUGUGUUUGUUUGUUUUAUAAGUCAGGGAGUAAAUUUAAUACUGAAUCAUAAGGAUGACUAGUCUAUACUGAUAUACAUCUGAUUUAUGUAAAUUGUGUGAAUAACAUAUAGUGUGUACAGGAUAUUGAUGGUUUUUAUAUACUGGUCAUAAUUAUAUAAACUAUCGUGGGGUUUGUUUACACCCCGUGGAGUGUAGUGAUGUUUAUUUUUAGUGUAAGAAAACAACAAGUUCAUGCCACAGUGUAAAUUAUCAUAUAUAUUUUCAACUUUUUUGCCAACAAGAAAUAGUACAAUUCAAUCUCCACCCAGACUGGUGUAUCUUUUCUUCAAAAAGUGAGUAAAAUGACUUAAAAGAAAACCGAGAAAAUAUGCUGAACUAUUGAACUCUGACCCUAAAGGUGAAAACGUAUUGUUUCUAGAGAUUUGUUAUAUUUUUAUUCAUUUGUGAAAUCAUAAACGAGAUGAUGCGUCAACAUUUACAUAAAAGUUACGAUCCGAAACGGCGGCUGAGUUUAAUGAUACCAUCUGAAUCUCAAUUACCAGAUUUAUCCAGACGUCGUUCAAUUAACGAGAAUUCAUUUCUCCUGCCUCCGAGUAUUUCUACACGGAGCAGUUCCUCUGGGGAUCUUUCUCCGAAGAUUAUUCAAGAGGAGAGAAAGGAUCGAAGUGAGUACAAAUUCGGUGACCAUCAUAGACUUUCUUUGCCUGCUUUUAGCAGUGAUACACAAAAACUGUCAUUAAGUCCAACUGACGGUAGGCCUUCGUCUGCCACUAGAAGGCGCUCUUCCAUUUAUGGCGGCGAUUUGUCAAGAUUAGGACUGGAUAAUGAAUCGGAUAAAAACAAUGUUCGAAAUUUUGUAUCGGCGGUUGUGGUUGUAAUAUCCCUCGUUGUCGCGUUUUCCUUUUAUCAGUUGGUGUAUUCUUAACUGUAAUCCUUGUAUUAGUGGAUAAAAAUGUGCUCGUAAAAUGGUGGUUUAUGUUUUGUUUUGUUUUGAAGCUCCAUGUCCAGUACACUAUAAUGUGAAAGUUUGAUCCGUUCAAUUUAGAGACGUGGACAACCAUUCCAGGAUACUUUAUUUCAAUUUUGCAGCCAUUAUGCUAUUUAACGAGGAUUGGACGCUAACACAAUACACCUCUACCACAAUGAACUAUUUUCGGUCAAGAAAAUUUAUUGUUCGUUUUUUUAGUUUUCAUCGAAAAGCGGGUCAUUGACAAGCUUGUCAUUAGAACCAGUGUAAACAUUAACUCUCUUACAAUUAACAUUUUAAAAAGGGGUGACUUGACAACAAACAAGAGUGAACACAUAUUUAUCGAAUAAAAUGAAUAAAUCUACAAACUGACUUUAAUAAAUAUAUGGGUUCCAUAGGAUGCACUUCAGCGUCUAUCAUGCCAGAUGGAUGUAUCAAGUUUCAAAAUAAUUCUGAAAUUUGCUUUAAAACGUGUUAAGAUCAAGGGAAAUAACCAUGUACUUAAAUAAUCACAAUAUAUAGUCAGAAGGGAUUAUAUCUAUUCUAGUAACUUUUCUCCAAAGCAGAGUAUAUAAACGGGAAUGAACAGGAUAGUCUGUAAAUAACCGCUACUAUUCAAUGUGGUUAAUCGGUAUUAUAUUGUGAUUAAACCUACUCAGUUUUAAAAUAAAUCAUCAAUAAAAGAA